rnacentral:rRNA from 1 species
GAUGAACGCUGGCGGCGUGCCUAAUACAUGCAAGUCGAGCGAAGCGGGGACGGGUGAGUAACACGUGGAUAACCUCCUAUCGGACUGGGAUAACUUCGGGAAACCGGAGCUAAACCGGAUACUUAUAGAUGGAUCCGCGCGGCAUUGGUUAGUUGGUAAGGUAACGGCUUACCAAGGCAACGAUGCCUAGCCGACCUGAGAGGGUGAUCGGCCAAACGGGAACUGAGGGACGGUCCAGAGUCCGACAGGAGGCAGCGAUAGAGAAUCGUCGGCAAUGGGCGAAAGCCCGACAGAGCAACGCCGCGUUGUGGAGGAGGGUCUUAGGAUCUUAAAACUCUGUUAUUAGGGAAGCGGUAGCUAGUCAGAAAGCCACGGCUAACUACGUGCCAGCAGCCGCGGUAAUAC